rnacentral:misc_RNA from 1 species
CGCCGCCCAAGUCAAGUACUUGGUGUUGGGGCAUGCGGGUGUGGUCCCACGCCCGCAGCCCUCAAAUUCAGCGGCGGUCCCCGGCGGGUUUCUCCUAGCGCAGUAGAGCAAGCAUCAGCUGCCGCUUCGGAGCCCCCGGGAGGCCGGCCGUAAAGCCCGCCAGCGAAAUACCCAAAAAGCUGCCGAACUUCUCAAAGG